UACGUAGGGGGCGAGCGUUGUCCGGAAUCAUUGGGCGUAAAGAGCGUGUAGGUGGACUGGAAGGUCUGGUGUGAAAGCCCACGGCUCAACCGUGGAGGGUCAUUGGAAACUGGGGGACUUGAGUGCAGGAGAGAAGAGUGGAAUUCCACGUGUAGCGGUGAAAUGCGUAGAGAUGCGGAGGAACACCGAUGGCGAAGGCAGCCUCCUGGGAUAACACUGACGCUCAUGCACGAAAGCGUGGGGAGCAAACAGG
rnacentral:rRNA from 1 species